CUGAGCCCCUUCCCACACUCCAAACCCCUCGGCUCCACCCCCACCCACAUGAAUUUUCUUAUGUGCACCAAUAUGGAGGUCACACAUCAGCUCCAUAUUGGUGCACUUAACAAAAUUCAUUCCUCACAUGUCUGGGAAAAAUUAGAGGGAACACUGCUUAUAUCCAGUUGUUAACCUGAAACUCAGAGUAAAUACGCCAGCUACAAUUCUGGUUUCAGCAGCAGGAUGUUUUCACCCGUCAGGAUCUAUCACCUGGGGUUAGAUAGAAGUUGGUGCGCCUCCCACCUCCCUUGUGUGGUGUAGUGGACAAAAGAGAUAGAGGAUUUUUCCAAAACAACAACAACAGAUUUAUUUAAGGGAAGUAACAACAGGAACAGAAAAAAAUCAUGAACCAUAACCAAAUAACAAGUGAGUUGUGGUUUAACAGAGGUGAGUAUAAAACUCAGGCCCGAACUAACCAAAACCUUUGCAACAACUAAACAAAAGACAACAAAAGAAUACCCCAAGAUACUUUGCUGUCUCUAGGUUUUCUUAACCAACAGGAAUGAGGUUAAGAUGCAUUUGUCUUCCCAUGAGCCCGUGGAUCACCUGUGAUGUGGAAGCUGAAGUAGUGGGACCCGACGGUGAGAGCCCUCAGACUAGUCCCAAAGCUGCUGGUGAUCUUGAUCCAAUUGCCUGGUCUGGUGGUUUGAUCCAAAGACCGCACAAAAAAGACUGCACCUUGACUGUCUCUAUAACGGACACCCCCCAAGCAAUGGUUGCUCAGACUAAUUUAAUUUAAUUUUUUUAAAGACGCACACAAAAAAGUUCUAAGAUCUCACAUUUUCAGAUCUCAGAGAAGAUAGAAUCUAAGUGACACAACAUAUGAAGAGCAAGAACAUCAUAGUUGCUGCCACAGAAAUAUAAUUGGUGGAGACCUGAAGUGAGAAUGUAUGAUUAUUGUAGCCACAUUGAAAGAGGACAUCAAUGGUAUAGUAAAAAAAAAAUGGGAGAGUGUAAGGGGGACCAUGUUUCCCUCAUCGUCCUUGUGGAGGAUGUUACUCCAUUUCCUCCAAAACCGCUUGUGGUAACCAAGAAAAAACUCCAGUUGUGGUUGAAGAUGCGGUUUGAGCUGUGACAACAAACACUUCUCUUUUUAGAGAAACAGCAAUGUUUUUCCCCCAAGAGAGAAUUUGUCUGACAGAGCUAGUUGUUCAAAUGGCUAUUGAAUCAAUGAGGAAUAGAUGUGUAUAUAGUUAUUUUACUCUCAGGAGAUUAAUUCAUUCACUCAUUUACUCUCUGGGUACUGAACCUUUAAAUAUAUGAGGAAAUGCCAGCUUGUUGCAGAAGCAACUCUGAAGUAUCUACUAUUUUAUUGUUCCGUUCAGAUAUAAUCACUGUAUUCUUUUUCCCAUGGAGACUUUAUUUUCUCUUUCUUUCUUUCUCUCUCUCUUUGAAAUAAAAGUUGGUAGAUUGUGGUAUGCAGGUUUCACUCUUAACUGAAUUUAUGCCAGAGAAACUUCUGUCACAGAAAGACAUGAAACAACCAUACAGCCUUAACAUAGGUGCUAAUUAUGUUUUACUUUAAUUAGUCAGUAAAGCCACUGAUAAUUCUCUGAGAGUCCUGGACUGGGUUACUAUUAGCAGGAAGCAUCUCUUUUUGAACAUUGACAGAUCUGCCGACCACAUGGAAGUGCACCCUAGCCACCAGAGUAUCCCGACUGAAGUCUGAGACUCAGUGUGGUAGGACAAUAGGGUUUUUCAUUGCCUUUCAUUAACACUGCUGGGGUGCUAGCUGGAGCUGUGUUUUAAUUGUGCCUGCUGUUCAUUUCUUCCUGCUUACUGUAUCUUUUGUAUAUACUUUUAAACCUUGAUCUGUUUAUUUUCAGAUAAAGAAGGAGGGAUUUCCAUGUUUGUAUCCAUUCCAGUUUGCUCAGCAGAAGACAGCACCAACUUAGUUUUAGCUAUAGAGCCAGAAGAUUUCACUGACUUGGAAUGUACUAGUGAAGAAUAAAUCUAGUGGGGAUACUGAUUUGACCCUAGAAUCACUAAGGGGCAAAUCCAGUCCACUUCUCCAUAGCCAAGGAGAGUCCAUGUGCAGUCCCUGAGUGGCAUGGAACCUUGUCCUGCAUGAGCCCCCUGUUCAGUGAUAAGGAGAGGCCAGAAAAUCUGGUGUUACAAGGAACCUCCUAUCUCUGCUCCUACACCCUUCCUGCAUAGGAGCUGCACAAGUGUCCUGGCCAUUGGGCUGCAGUAACCUUUGUGGAGCAGUUCAACAGCCACUCUACAGAGUGGAGGGAAGUAUUUUUCUUUCCCUGCCCCACCAAACAUCAGCACACCACCACAGGAUUUUUUGGACAGUUGGCGUAUUGUUUGUAUUUUGAGCUUAUUUUGUUUAGCUGGUUCAUACCUUGGCGGAAGUGUGAUUUCUGAUUUUGAUCCUGGAAACAAUCAAUAACUAUGUGCUUGAUUGUAUAUAUUUAUUUUGAUUUAUAUUCACAUCUGUGAAAAAAGGCACCUAUUCCUGUCUAUAAGGUUGACAAUUCUUAAAUAAUACAGAAAUGAAAAAGAAUGUCCUGUAAAUCCCCCUUCAGCCUCUAAUCAGCAUAUUUACAGUAACCAACAACCCCAGAGCAAAAGUUUGGCAUGUUGCCAUUUAAUUUUCUAGAUAGGCCUCACAAUCCCUCAAACUGAUUGUCACACCGUCUGGAGUGGCGUAUGACUGGAAGUGCCUACCUCAGUCUGUCCGAACAGGAGAGACACCCCAAGCUGGUGAUAUGUUCUAUAAUUAGAUUUCACCAAGCCAGUAACAAAUAUGAACUCCUUGAUCAAGCUAAUAGGCUUAUCAUGGAGUCACAGACAGUCCCCUAAGACUCUCCGGUCUAUCUUGCCACCCAAACAAUCUGGACUUAGUGAUAAAUGGUCACUUUCACAAAAAAAAAAAUCUCACAAAUUUUAGGUUGCUUCCAGUUCCAAGAGACCAGGCACUUACCACAGAUCAAUUGGUACCCUAGAUCUUAUACCACAGACAAUACUUAUAGCCAAUCCUGUGCGACAAAGUUCCUGCUCUACCUUGGUGGGUCUUGCGCUUAUUGGUGGAUUUGCUCUCCUUGGAGCUUCACGGCAACCCUCAGCUUGGCCGUUUUUCUGAACCCA